rnacentral:lncRNA from 1 species
CGCACGGGGAAAAUUACCAGGCCCGCCCUCCUUUCUGUGCCCUGCGGGUGCAGAGGGUGGAGGAGGACAUCCUCCACCCAUCAGGCGGACCUGCAGCGACUCGGUGCCAGAGAGGAGCCCUCCUCCAGAGCCCCCUCAACCAGAGAGGAGCCCUCCUCCAGAGCCCCCUCAAGUCGCGGCUCCCGACGAGUCGCAGCCCAGGUGCGGGCUUUAGGGACCACCUUUAGUGUGACCAUUCCAAACAAUUGCUCCCCCCCCCCUGCGGUUUCCCAGGCUCAGACCCCUUUCUGGUGGGGCGCCGCCCAGGUCUGGUGUGGGGCAACUUGGCCCUGUCGCAAGCCCGGUUGUUCAACUUGCGGAAAGGCGUCUUACAGCAAAUUUUAUUACCCCACACGUAGAAAACGGCGUUUUGGGGUUGCGUGCAGGGCUGAAAGGCGCAGAGGUGUCCGGAUCUGUCUGCCGAGGCUCGUCGGGACACGAUGCUCAUCGCCCCACCCCUGCAUAACUUUAUUACCCGUGUUAGAAUACCCCAAACAGGUUCAGGCAGUUUACCUGCUGAGGAUACAGGAGUGGUGGUGUCGCAGCGGCACAAAUAAACCAACAACCUGUUGGACAGGUGGGAGAGGAUGUAGAGAUGAUACCCAUCAAAUAUGUCUUCCAGGGGAGAGCGGUGGCAACAACAACGUCAGUUUGGCUUCUCCCCAAACAGGCGAGUGUAAUGAAAUCAAAGAAAGGAAAAGAACAUUUUCUGCUCCCGAGCAGCAGGAAAACGCAACAAUGUUGCCGCUUCCUUUGAGCGCAUCCGGCGGCACCGAUGAUGAUCGAGAACCACUUUUGAAAAACACGGCUGGUUGUGAGGAUACAGGGAGGCGCAGAAAAUGCCCCCAGAUGACCUGUCGGGGGCGGCCUGGUGGAGGGCAGAGGAGCUCGUGGAGGGAUGGUGGUGAAAGCCCCGACGACAGCACUCCGUUUUCCCACCCCGGCUUUUACGAGCCACCUUUGUUCCUCCGGAUUUUACCUUUUACAAGGAAAACCGGUUUCUUGAGGUCAAGGCUUAAUGGAGAGGCGGUGGGGGGGGGGGGGGGGGUCAGGUCACGGCUGGGAGGCCAGAACGUUUAA